rnacentral:misc_RNA from 1 species
AAAAUAAACUUUAUUUUCCUUCCUAAUUUUAUUUUCCCCUCUUUUCCAAACAUGAAAACUUGUCAAUCUCUCAUUAUUUUCCUCAAGUUAUUUUCCCUUCUCUUAUUUUCCCCACAUGCAAACAGAGGGUAAGGGCUUCUCUCAAUUAUGCCCUGUUCAGAAUAAGGGGAAGGCAUUGCAACUAAAUUUGGUUGAGAUUUACUUGUUUUCAUGGUGAUAACAACUAAAGCUUUAAUUUGAUUCCUGGAUAUUUUUUUAUUAGCUUCUUGGAUACCUUCAUGCCAUGUCCACAACUUGUGCAAAUAGUGUAAAGUUUGAGGGAAGCAUAUAUUUUUUUAAAAAAUGAGCAUUGUGUUCCUUAUCUACCAAGAAAUUUAGGAUCUAUCAAUGAUGCAGCUUGAAUGAACUGUACUAUUGUUUCAGCUAUUCUAUUGAUUAGGAGUCCAGGUGAACUGAGAGAGAGAGAGAAUAAGAUCAUCACGCAUGUCUUUUCUUUUGAGAAGAGGAAGAUGAAAAGCUGGCUUUGUUAAACUAGUUGGAUAGGCAAUAUGGGCUUUCUUCUCCUUUCUGCUAAAUGCCAGCUAAUCACAUAGCAUUUGUUUAUUUUCUGAAGGUGACAUUAGAA